rnacentral:rRNA from 1 species
UACGGACGGGGCAAGCGUUGUUCGGAAUCAUUGGGCGUAAAGGGCGCGUAGGUGGUUCUGUAUGUCUACCGUGAAAGCAUACAGCUCAACUGUAUUUUGUCGGUAGAAACUGCAGGACUUGAGGCUGGGAGGGGCUGGUGGAAUUCCCUGUGUAGCGGUGAAAUGCGUAGAUAUCGGGAGGAACAUCAGUGGCGAAGGCGGCCUUCUGGUCCAGUACUGACACUCAAGUGCGAAAGCGUGGGGAGCAAACAGG